rnacentral:misc_RNA from 1 species
GAUGAAGAACGUAGCGAAAUGCGAUAAGUAAUGUGAAUUGCAGAAUUCAGUGAAUCAUCGAAUCUUUGAACGCACAUUGCGCCCGCCAGUAUUCUGGAGGGCAUGCCUGUUCGAGCGUCAUUACAACCCUCAGGCCCCCGGGCCUGGCGUUGGGGAUCGGCGGAAGCCCCCUGCGGGCACAACGCCGUCCCCCAAAUACAGUGGCGGUCCCGCCGCAGCUUCCAUUGCGUAGUAGCUAACACCUCGCAACUGGAGAGCGGCGCGGCCACGCCGUAAAACACCCAACUUCUGAAUGUUGACCUCGAAUCAGGUAGGAAUACCCGCUGAACUUAAGCAUAUCAAUAAGCGGAGGA